rnacentral:rRNA from 1 species
CGGCGAGUGAAGCGGCAACAGCUCAAAUUUGAAAUCUGGCCCUAGGCCCGAGUUGUAAUUUGUAGAGGAUGCUUUUGGCGCGGUGCCUUCCGAGUUCCCUGGAACGGGACGCCUUAGAGGGUGAGAGCCCCGUACGGUUGGACACUAAGCCUCUGUAAAGCUCCUUCGACGAGUCGAGUAGUUUGGGAAUGCUGCUCUAAAUGGGAGGUAAAUUUCUUCUAAAGCUAAAUACCGGCCAGAGACCGAUAGCGCACAAGUAGAGUGAUCGAAAGAUGAAAAGCACUUUGAAAAGAGGGUUAAAUAGCACGUGAAAUUGUUGAAAGGGAAGCGUUUGCGACCAGACCUUUUCCUAGCGGAUCAUCCGGUGUUUUCACCGGUGCACUUCACUAGGUUUAGGCCAGCAUCGGUUUCUGCGGGGGGAUAAAAGCUUAGGGAACGUGGCUCCUUCGGGAGUGUUAUAGCCCUUUGCAUAAUACCCUCGCGGGGACCGAGGACCGCGCUUUGCAAGGAUGCUGGCAUAAUGGUCGUCAACGACCCGUCUUGAAACACGGACCAAGGAGUCGAACAUUUGUGCGAGUGUUUGGGUGUUAAACCCUCACGCGUAAUGAAAGUGAACGGAGGUGAGAACCCUUUAGGGCGCAUCAUCGACCGAUCCUGAUGUCUUCGGAUGGAUUUGAGUAAGAGCAUAACUGUUCGGACCCGAAAGAUGGUGAACUAUGCGUGGAUAGGGUGAAGCCAGAGGAAACUCUGGUGGAGGCUCGCAGCGGUUCUGACGUGCAAAUCGAUCGUCAAAUCUGCGCAUGGGGGCGAAAG